AACUAUUAGUUUAAUUUCAGUCUAUUUAAAUCUAUAAAUACUUUUUGAUGCAUAAUAAAAGUAAUCUAUAAAACAAAUGACAGAAUUAAAAACAAAUGAAAAAAAUAAAAAGGUUUUUAAAUUUUUUUUUUUUUUUUUUUUUUGGUAAACUGUUUCAUUUUAGUCCAUUUAAGUUUAUUCAGAAUACUUUAUGGCUUAAAAAUUAAUCUAUAAAAUAAGUGACAGAAUUUGCCAAAAAUAUUUUAUGUUUGUUUUAAACUUUAUUUAAUUUUGUUCUAUAUAGACUAUUCUGUUACUUUUUGGUGCUUAAUAAUAUUAAUCAUAGAGUUUUUAAAAAUAAUAUAUAUUGUUUUUUUUUUUUGUGGUAAAUUAUUUGUUUAUGUGUAUUGCAUCUAAUUUAGUACUAUUAAAUUAAUAAUAGAAUCUGUCAAAAAUAAUAACAGUUUUAAUUUUUUUGGUGAGCUGUGUUGACUUGCAUGUGUUAAUAAUUAAAGGAAGAUAAAGCAUGCAGUACGUUUGAAAUAAAUCCACUAACCAGUUGUGUUUCUCUCCUGCUAGGAAGCUGUAUUAGCAUUGCUCAAAGAGGCUUUGACCUGUGAGGUGUGAGAGUCGUGCAGGUAUGGGACAGACGUGGCCUGACCCCCAACAACAGGGCAGCGGGGACACAAUCUGCUCUGAGACCCACUCCUGUGCUCGUCGGUCAUGAUGCAACGGUCACUGAAUGAGAAGCUGCUCUGUGAAGAUGCCGCAGUGUCCCAGGGAGAGAUGGGAAGGAACAAAAGAAAGUUUGCAAAGAAAGGAAGAUGGGAGGAUCGAGAGACAAAAAGAGAAAAUGCACGAUCACUUUGUCAUCUAUUGAAGCUCAUGCAAACACUGCCGCCCUAAAAUGUGAACAUGCACCAGGAGAAACAGACGGGCUCCUGGAAAACAAGACUUGACUGUACGACAGCAUAUAUAAGGUUAGCAUAUAUAAACAGAAGCUGAUUAAUAAAAUAAAACAGAAUAACA
ensembl:lncRNA